GUGGAAUAGUCUCUGUACAGCAGAUAUUGUAGCUAAUAACUCACGAGAGAUGGACUUACAUGCAGAACCGUUCCUCCAAAAACCAAAGAGUAGGUUAACACCAUAGAGGUCUCAGUUAACCCACAGAGGUCUCAGUUAACCCCAUAGAGGUCUCAGUUAACCCCAUAGAGGUCUCAGUUAACCCCAUAGAGGUGUCAGUUAACCCCAUAGAGGUGUCAGUUAACCCCAUUGAGGUCUCAGUUAACCCCAUAGAGGUCUCAGUUAACCCAUAGAGGUCUCAGUUAACCCAUAGAGGUCUCAGUUAACCCAUAGAGGUCUCAGUUAACCCACAGAGGUCUCAGUUGACCCACAGUUUUACUCCUUGAUGUUUAAUAAACCACAUUCUACCCUCAAAGGGCAAUAUGACCCUGUUGAUAAAGACUAUUUUGGGGGAGAGUUUCAGCCUGGCUUUGAACGGGUCAAAACUGAAUUCAUUUGAGUUAUUAUGACCAUGUGGGAUGUAAUGAGCUCAGUCCUCUUGCUUAAGAGCAGGGAAUAGAUGUGUGUGAAUAGAAAGCCAAAUUGUUCAUUAACAACAUUUGGGUUCUAAGAUGUUGAGAAAAGGGGCAUUGAAGAGUCUGCCUAACCCAGACCUGUGAAAAAUGUAUAUACUCCCACAAUAUCCUAACCUAACCCCAAUUCAGCAGGGGUCUACAGCUGCACGUUUGGGUUCUCCGUGACUGGGAAAGGCAUAGAAUAUCCUACAUCCCUCGCAUUAGACCAGAACAGUAUGGAUAUAAUAAUUAAUAGGAAAU
ensembl:lncRNA